GACGAACGCUGGCGGCGUGCUUAACACAUGCAAGUCGAACGGAAAGGCCCUGCUUUUGUGGGGUGCUCGAGUGGCGAACGGGUGAGUAACACGUGAGUAACCUGCCCUUGACUUUGGGAUAACUUCAGGAAACUGGGGCUAAUACCGGAUAGGAGCUCCUGCUGCAUGGUGGGGGUUGGAAAGUUUCGGCGGUUGGGGAUGGACUCGCGGCUUAUCAGCUUGUUGGUGGGGUAGUGGCUUACCAAGGCUUUGACGGGUAGCCGGCCUGAGAGGGUGGCCGGCGACAUUGGGACUGAGGUACGGACCAGAAGCGUACGGGAGGCAGUAGUGGGGAAUAUUACACAAUGGGCGGAAGCCAGAGGCAGCAACGCCGCGUGCGGGAUGACGGCUUUCGGGUUGUAAACCGCUUUCGCCUGUGACGAAGCGUGAGUGACGGUAAUGGGUAAAGAAGCACCGGCUAACUACGUG
rnacentral:rRNA from 1 species